UACGUAGGGGGCAAGCGUUGUCCGGAUUUAUUGGGCGUAAAGAGCGUGUAGGCGGCCUGGUAGGUCAGCUGUGAAAACUCGAGGCUCAACCUCGAGACGCCGGUUGAAACCAUCAGGCUAGAGUCCGGAAGAGGAGAGUGGAAUUCCAGGUGUAGCGGUGAAAUGCGCAGAUAUCUGGAAGAACACCCGUGGCUAAGGCGGCUCUCUGGGACGGUACUGACGCUGAGACGCGAAAGCGUGGGGAGCGAACAGG
rnacentral:rRNA from 1 species